rnacentral:rRNA from 1 species
GACGAACCGUGCGAACGUUGUUCGGAAUCACUGGGCUUAAAGGGCGCGUGAGGCGGCGCGUCAAGUCAGGGGUGAAAUCUUUCGGCUCAACCGGAAAAGUGCCUCUGAUACUGACGCGCUCGAGGGAGGUAGGGGCAUGCGGAACUUCCGGUGGAGCGGUGAAAUGCGUUGAUAUCGGAAGGAACGCCGGUGGCGAAAGCGGCGUGCUGGACCUCGUUCUGACGCUGAGGCGCGAAAGCCAGGGGAGCGAACGGG